UACAGCAGUGGCAGACGGGUGAGUAACGCGUGGGAACGUGCCUUUUGGUUCGGAACAACCCAGGGAAACUUGGGCUAAUACCGGAUAAGCCCUUACGGGGAAAGAUUUAUCGCCAAAAGAUCGGCCCGCGUCUGAUUAGCUAGUUGGUGAGGUAACGGCUCACCAAGGCAACGAUCAGUAGCUGGUCUGAGAGGAUGAUCAGCCACACUGGGACUGAGACACGGCCCAG
rnacentral:rRNA from 1 species